GACGAACGCUGGCAGCGUGCUUAACACAUGCAAGUCGAACGGAAAGGCCCUGCUUUUGUGGGGUGCUCGAGUGGCGAACGGGUGAGUAACACGUGAGUAACCUGCCCUUGACUUUGGGAUAACUUCAGGAAACUGGGGCUAAUACCGGAUAGGAGCUCCUGCUGCAUGGUGGGGGUUGGAAAGUUUCGGCGGUUGGGGAUGGACUCGCGGCUUAUCAGCUUGUUGGUGGGGUAGUGGCUUACCAAGGCUUUGACGGGUAGCCGGCCUGAGAGGGUGACCGGCCACAUUGGGACUAAGAUACGGCCCAGACUCCUACGGGAGGCAGCAGUGGGGAAUAUUGCACAAUGGGCGGAAGCCUGAUGCAGCAACGCCGCGUGCGGGAUGACGGCCUUCGGGUUGUAAACCGCUUUCGCCUGUGACGAAGCGUGAGUGACGAUAAUGGGUAAAGAAGCACCGGCUAACUACGUG
rnacentral:rRNA from 1 species